rnacentral:lncRNA from 1 species
AUGGGGUCCUGUUAUACCAUGAGAAAGAAAACCUUUAUUUCAACAGGCAACAACUUAGUAAGGAAACUCCAGGAAUGUUUUUUUGAUUUUAUUUAUUUAUUUAUUUAUUUUCCCUAGCAGACCUAUAAACACAUUUGGGUAGAAGGGCAAAGGCUGGGUUCCUGCCCUCCUCAUCUCAGCUGUCCAUGGGGACUUGUCAGAUUUGUUGCCAUCACGUCAGCAGGGCAGGAGGCAGCUAAAAUCAGCUUCCUGCCAUAAGGGAAUACGCGGCAGAUGGCACUGUUUCUUUAGCAGUCUGCACCAGCCUCCUUUUCCCUUUGUGGGAAGUUCCAGGACGAUUUUCUUAAAGAACAUAUGUGGUUUGGUCUCGAGGUGCCUGGCCACCUGCCUGGAAACCAAAGCACACCAUUUGGCACCAUUUGUGCAAAAUCACAGAAUCACAGAAUUUCUAGGUUGGAAGAGACCUCAAGAUCAUCGAGUCCAACCUCUGACCUAACACUAACAGUCCCCACUAAACCAUAUCCCUAAGCUCUACAUCUAAACGUCUUUUGAAGACUUCCAGGGAUGGUGACUCCACCACUUCCCUGGGCAGCCUGUUCCAGUGCCUAACAACCCUUUCAGUAAAGAAGUUCUUCCUAACAUCUAACCUAAAACUCCCCUGGCACAACUUAAGCCCAUUCCCCCUCGUCCUGUCACCAGGCACGUGGGAGAACAGGCCAACCCCCACCUCACUACAGCCUCCUUUAAGGUAUCUGUAGAGAGCAAUAAGGUCCCCCCUGAGCCUCCUCUUCUCCAGGCUGAAGAGAGUUCAGUGCUUCAGAUGGGGAAGGUGAGUGUCCUGCAAGGGGAAUGGGGGCUGCCUCACUCCAUUGAUAAUAAGCUCCAGGUAAAGGCAAACCUGGAUAUCACCCACAAUGAAGGUCCAGAUGCCUGAACCAAGGUUGCAGGCAAGAUCCUGGAUCCAAAAGGUAGGACUGUUGUCUGAGUGAAGCAAGCCACAUAUCUUCUGUGCUUGAUCAGGACGUGAAGCACUGCUUUCCCUCUGGAAUAUGGGAAAAACAUGAGGUGUGGGUGCUGGAACCCACAGAGUAUUUGUCCAUGAAGUAGGAAACCUUCUCCUGAGGCUGAGACUGCUGACACUGAUUUUUACCUCUUCCUGUGGAAAUGGUGAAAUAGUACAGAAAGAAAAGUGGCUUUCAUGGAGGAUGCAAUAUCAAAGCAAGCCUGACAUGAGACCCUAGAAGUUAGGUCCUCAUAGGUGAUUGAGGCAUUGCUCUCCUUUGUACCACUUCUUCCUAGCUCUUUGGGUCAGAAAGUAGUUAAUUGGUUAAGGUGCCACUAGGAUUAGGUGACUGUGGAGUGCUGAGUUUACAGUCACAGUUUUGAAGUUAAGUAUUAAAUCCUGUUUUGGAAACUAAAGAUAGAUCUUUGCUAUGGAAGUCAGGAUUUCUUCAC